UACGUAGGGUGCGAGCGUUGUCCGGAAUUACUGGGCGUAAAGAGCUCGUAGGUGGUUUGUCGCGUUGUUCGUGAAAACUCACAGCUUAACUGUGGGCGUGCGGGCGAUACGGGCAGACUGGAGUACUGCAGGGGAGACUGGAAUUCCUGGUGUAGCGGUGGAAUGCGCAGAUAUCAGGAGGAACACCGGUGGCGAAAGCGCUCAUCUGGCCCAAUACUGACGCUGAGGCGCGAAAGCUAGGGGAGCAAACGGG
rnacentral:rRNA from 1 species